rnacentral:rRNA from 1 species
AACGAACGCUGGCGGCAGGCCUAACACAUGCAAGUCGAGCGAGGACUUCGGUCCUAGCGGCGGACGGGUGUGUAACGCGUGGGAACGUGCCCUUUGCUUCGGAAUAGCCCUGGGAAACUGGGAGCAAUACCGGAUGAGCCCUUUGGGGGAAAGAUUUAUCGGCGAAGGAUCGGCCCGCGUUGGAUUAGGUAGUUGGUGGGGUAAUGGCCUACCAAGCCGGCGAUCCAUGCUGGUAUGAGAGGAUGAUCAGCCACACUGGGACUGAGACACGGCCCAGACUCCUACGGGAGGCAGCAGUGGGGAAUCUUAGACAAUGGGGGAAACCCUGAUCGAGCCAUGCCGCGUGAGCGAUGAAGGCCUGAGGGUUGUAAAGCUCUUUCAGCUGGGAAGAUAAUGACGGUACCAGCAGAAGAAGCCCCGGCUAACUCCGUG